UGAUACCUUCCACCGCCCACUACCUCCAGCAUUAGCGUUCUAGACAAAUUAACCAGUAACUCUCCUUGGAUUACUACCAUAGACUUACAAUCAAUGUCCUUUUCCUUCUACUCUGUUUUUUGUUUGUUUGUUGCCAACCUGGGGCAUAUGGAGUGCCUGGGAUCAGCUCUUUUCUCCUCUUGAUUUGUAUUCUCUAUGUUCAACAAAUCAACCGGAGUUACUCUACCAAUAGAUAUCAGAUGGUAUUAAUUCUCAGUUCUACUGCAUUGCUUUCCAUGUCUUUGAGGGCAAAAGGCAUUCCUAGCUUGGUCAUAUUUCUGCCCCCACUGCCUCCCUGACAUCUUUUACAUCAUACCUCCUCCCUCUGUCUGCUCCAGACACGCUGGCGCCCUCGUUACUUUGCAAUGUGGGGCAUUGUUAGAGUCAGGGUAUUGCUUUUGCUCUUGUUCCAUCUCUAGAUCUUAUUUCCCUGGAUAUUUUGAUGACCUACUCCCAUAUUUCCUUCAAGUUCUCUGCUUGAUCAGAGAAUCCUUCCCUCACUCUCCUGUGUUCCAUUUAUCAGUAAUUGCCUCGGAAUUUCAAACCCUCAUUUACUGCUUGGUCUAUGAAAAUGGAUCCAGGCCCCUUUAGUAUCUGUUAAUCUUUGUUAAUAAAGAGCACUGGAGAGGAAAGGAAUUUUGCUUCUGAGUUCUGCUGUGCCCCUAGCUGCCUCCUGACCCUGGUUUGCUCCCUGCGGAAGUACGUGGCUCCCACAGUGCAUAUAGCAUCUUCACUACACCAGCUUGGGGACCACCGACUCUCGGCAGUCGGCACCUCCCCAGAGAGAGACUUUGUGGUAAAUACCUCAGGCUGAAGUUUUUCCCAGCAUUUUAAAGGGUGGAUUUCCUGGACAUUGCACUGGAGUGACACAAAGGGGACGUGUUUGUUAUUCACUGAGCCACAGCCAUACCCUCUCCAACAGGGACUGGAUUGCAGUCCUGGCCCAGACUCAGCUUUGUCACUCAGUAAAUUUGUGAAACUCUUCAAUGCGGAAGGAUGGAGCAAAGCGCUAUUUGUAUAUCGAUGAAACAUUUACAUGGUUAAUAUUCACCUGGACCAUUGAUUUUCGCUUUUUGCUAACUCCUAUGUGGUAGCAGUGGGAGAAGGUUACUACACGAUACUGAGGACUGUUCCCUGUGCUGUAUGUAGGUCCUUGUUGCUUACCCAGCAUUUCUGAGUUGAGGCAUUAUUUGCUGUAUCACGGGAGACAUAAUACAGCAAAAUCUCAGUCCUCGUGGUUCCAAAGCUCUCUCUUCUUGGGAGGGGCAGGCAGGCCCCAAGGUAAUUGUAUACGGUGGGAAGGAGUAUGGUGGAGAUUGUGCUUUACACAUGAGCUGCCUGUCAAUCACGCUACCAUGUUUUCUAUGGGUCCCUGAAAUUAGAGGAGAUGCUGAAUUUAAGAGACCACUGAUCACUUAUUGACGUAAGUCACAUUAGAUUUAGAGCUCUCACUUGCAACAUAGAACCAAUAGUUGUUUGUUUUUCCUUUGCACCUCCAUCCACUCUACCUUGAAGUCAACACUCUCCAACUAGUUGCUGACUCAUCUGUGACAGCCUCAUGUUGCCUUCUCAUCUAUAAUUACAGCUACUUUCUAAUCAAAACAUAAGCGCUCUUCCCUCUGACUUUUUAUUGUCUUUUUAAUGAAUAAAUUUCAUGUUUCAAUCUACUAUUGAUCCAUGAUACAUAAAGAACAAUUAAAAGAAUGAACAAUGUUUAGCCAGAAGGAGAAUGUUUAGUAUAUGGAAGAGAUCAGGCAUAUUCUGUAUGAUUUUGAGAACUAGAGCUAAAAAAUACUGAAAUGCCAGGAUGAGAGGAUUUGGUUAAUAACUUGGCAAGUAUUGAAUUCUAGUCACUGUGCUUUAUUAUUUUGAAAAUAAGAUAUUUAUUAAAGAAAUAUAUAAUCCAUGUAUCAUAAAUGCAAUAUUGCUGCAUGAACUGCCUUUUAAAAUUAGUGAACAAACCUACACAGCUUAAAUGUAUUAAGGAGAGAAUUAAUCUUUUUUUCCAAUUGAAGCAAAGGUGAUUAAAAGAUAAAUUUAUAAAGCAAACGUGUUGUUUAUUGAAGAAAGUAUAUAAAAUAAAGUUAUAUUUUAUAGAAUACUAAAGUAUGCUAGGCCUAUUAGCUGAAAACAGUCUCUUUCAGAAAACAAUAAUUUUCUGUUUGAAUGCUUUUAAAUAGGUUUACACAAAAUAUACCAAGGUUUAGUUAAUAUUUAAAACAUGUUCCAAUUUCCAUGUAUAUUUUACUUAAUUAUCAAUAUGUACUUCAAAGUUCUGAUUUUUUUAAGAGCAAGUGAAUAAUAAAGUUUAAUUUUAAGCCUCAGCCUUUCAAACAUUUUUCUACUUCAUUUCUCUUAUAAGACUUCAUCUAGAUAAUUUUCAUUACUUCUCAGUUGAUACAAACAAAUUUUGCUUAUCAGCUUCCUGAGUACUUUCUUCCAAAUUUCCAUAGCUUAAGUUAGAAAUUUCUCAGUUUUCACUAUCAAUCAAGCACUCUCAUAAACCCAAUCCUCAUCAUAAUUACACUUUGAAUUAUAUCUUGAACCCCUCUUUCCUUCAUCUCCAACAUCAUUCUGAACUACAGAGUAUCUCAACCUGCUAUUUCUUUCCACGGGCACUGUAUCAUUUUCACGUUUAUAAAAGCAACUGUUUUCUAAUUCAUUUUCACCUUUAGCCUGUCCCUCAACAAAUCCAAUAUGCUCACUGCAUCCUAUCAUGAACCCGCUUAAGACCACUGUCCCUCAUGUAAAGAUCCACAUCAAAGUACUUCAUCAUCGGUCAAUGCUCUCCAAAUCAAAUCCGCUUCCUAACUAAUCUCUCACUGGUCCUUAAAAUAAAGCCACCUUUCCACCUUUUUCAAUGUUCUCUAUAAAAACAGCGUAUCUGAAUCUAAGCCUUUCUUGAACGUCUGGAGCAUCUCACGUCGUGACUCCAUCAAAUACAACCUCCAAGUUCUUAUUUGCAUAUUACCAUAAUUAUUCCCAAUUUUAUAAUUUUAAGCUAUACUACUCUACCUUUAUCCCCUCAGAUUUCACUUUUCAUGUGUAUCAAGUAUGUUCCAUUGAUUGUAUAUUACUUUGCAUUUUUCAAUGGCUAAUUGAAGCCUCACCUACCCUAUCAGGUCCAAUAAAUGGAUUGUAUUCAAUUUACUUUAUCUUUACUGUUACAGAAUAUAAUGUAUUUGGUACCUGAUCAACAAAUAAUUACUUGCUGAAUUAAUUAAAUGAUACCAAGAUAAUUCAUCCUACCCAUAUGUAAUAUUACAUGGUGCUCACCCUUUUUUCAUUUCUUUAAACCACCUUAUUGUGAUAGAAUUUUCACCAAAAAAGCUGUACAUCGUUAAUGUCUAAACUUGAUGAGUUUAGAGCUAAGUCUGGGAAACCAUCACCAUGGCUAUGCCAUAAACAUAUCCAUCACCUACAAGAACUUCUGCCUAUGGACCCAGGCCAGCCUGCCAGCCUGUGGUCCCCCCCAACCAGCCCUCUCAGAAUCUCUGGUGAGGCUGACUGGUGAAGGGCUUACUCUCUUUCACCUACAUAUUUUCCCAUAAGAAAACUUAUAUUGAAGGUGAUAUGAGAUAAUUAUUGAGCUAAUUUUAUGACAUAAUCUAAUUUGAUAAACAUACAGUUGCCCCCUUGAACAACUCUGCUUUAAACUGUAUGAAUCCACUUAAAUUAGGAUUUUUUUCCAAUAGUAAAUAUUUCAUUGCUACAUGAUUUGUGGUUGGUUAAAUACUUAGAUGUGGAUGUGUCAGUCUCACUAACUCCUGCCUUGUUCAAAGGUCAACUGUAUAUUUAAAACGUUUUAAGUCAUAUUUUCAUCAAGCUUUUUUUAAACUCUUAUCUUUGUUGCCAUUCCAACCAUACCAUCUUUAAAUCAUUUUUGUCUCGUGUAUUUUGCAGCCUCACUCCCAUCACUGACUUGCCAAGACCCAUAAUAAUGGCACCCUGGUGGGACUGUUGUUGACUGGUUGUUAACUCAGAGACUUGUUCAUUGGUGUGACUCUAUUGCUGUGGCUCUGGCGUAGGCUGGCAGCUACAGCCUGGGAUGUCCAUAUGCCACAGGAGUGGCCCUAGAAAAGGCAAAAAAAAAAAAAAAAGUGUUCAUUUUGCUCAGAGUGUUCUGGUCUGGGCUGGGUUAACCUCUUGUACUCAUGUGUCUACGGGCAGAUCCAGGUCUUUAAGGUGGUUCCACUGAUCUGGAUGCACUGACCCACAUAUCUGGUGGUGGGCUCUCAUCUUGCGGAUGCUGAAUGGCCUCAGAUGGGACAACUAAAGUGACUUACCUCUCCUCCAUGUGUUCCAUUCUCCCGUGAGCCAGUCUGUAGCCAGACUGCAAGUGCUAAGGAAUUGUAGCUGUUAACGCAAUUAAUCUGUCACAUCACAGGACCUGAAAGGCCAAAGCUUUAUUGCUAGGACAGUUGAGUGAUCUGCUUCUGUGUCCUGGGUACAGUUUAGGUCAUCCGAAUGAGACCACCUUCUCUGCUUCGCAUGUGGACAAAGCAGACUCCAACUGGCGUGUUCCACUGUGUCAUCACCAGUGAGAUUUCAGAAGUUCUUAUGAACUUAGGAAAAGACUGAUUGUUCUACAUCCAUGGAAACAUGCAGCUCUCAUGCAAUUGACUUAGAAAUGACAACUUGCCUCAGUGAAUAUACUUGACAAAGUCAGUCCCUCACUUCCUAAUGGCAGCCCAUAAGCAAUAGAGUCACACCAAUGAACAAGUCUCUGAGUUAACGACCAGUCAACAACAACAGUCCCAUCAGAGAAGAGGCUCGUUCACACCUUGAAAAGUCAACCAAUCUCUGAGCUCCCUGUGUCCUAAAAUUCCUAUUUAAAAAUGCUGUCUGUUCUACUUAGAACAGCACAGCUCUUCCUUAGCAGAGCAAGCCAUGCAUUCAGCAUUGGCAUUUUAGAUGCUGAGUGGGAUCUUGGUGUGGGUGAGAACCUGCUGUGCAGUAAGUACCACAAUGCCUCUGGUUGCAGCAGCAUCCGUCUCCUGCUACAUCUGGAUGGCAACUAUGACUUUGAAGACAGCAUUCUACUAAAUAAUAUUUGUUAAAAAUUUACAAUAUAAUCCAUGAUUUAAUGACAUUAAAUAGCUAAGUAUUAGAUCCAUUAAAAUAAAUUUAACAUAUUUUAUCCAAAAUUGUUUCCUAUAUAAUUAACUUUAUGCUCAAAUAAGAAGUGUAUUUUCUGCAAACUUAUGUUUUCCCAUUUCAUCACAGGUAACCAAAUUCUUUAUAGGGGUCCCGCACUCUAUAUCUAUUAAAAAUAAAGCAAAUGCUCUCUUUGACUUCAGUUAUGCUUUAUCUUAUCUACCGCUAGAACCGUAUCUAAAAUGCCAGCAUGAACUUUAAAAUGCUUUAUCCUGAAUUAGAAACGCAGUGUAUCCUGACUUGAGUUGGUGCAGUUUCUGAAAGGUAAUCUGCGGGGGUCAUUGUCUCUUUCAUACUUUCACUGGGAAAUUAGAGAGUGUUGGCUGUUAGAGUACUUUUUAUUGUCAUUUCCUUUGAAAAAUUAUUAUUCAUAUGGACUUGAUAGGUCAAAUGUUAUCUUUAAUUUUUUAUUAGAUAGCUGCUAUUUAUCUUUGCUUUUUCCUUUUCUAUUUUUUAAUCUAACCUUCAAUCAAUUUUCCUAGUCAGUCUUUUCUUAAACUCUAAUGAUUUAUUUUUUUUUAUUUUUUAAUUUUUUUUGCUAUUUUUUGGGCCGCUAC